rnacentral:rRNA from 1 species
AUUGAACGCUGGCGGCAUGCUUUACACAUGCAAGUCGAACGGUAACAGGGAGCUUGCUCCGCUGACGAGUGGCGAACGGGUGAGUAAUGCAUCGGAACGUACCCAGUCGUGGGGGAUAACGUAGCGAAAGUUACGCUAAUACCGCAUACGUCCUGAGGGAGAAAGCGGGGGACCGUAAGGCCUCGCGCGAUUGGAGCGGCCGAUGUCGGAUUAGCUAGUUGGUAGGGUAAAGGCCUACCAAGGCGACGAUCCGUAGCGGGUCUGAGAGGAUGAUCCGCCACACUGGGACUGAGACACGGCCCAGACUCCUACGGGAGGCAGCAGUGGGGAAUUUUGGACAAUGGCGAAAGCCUGAUCCAGCCAUGCCGCGUGAGUGAAGAAGGCCU